CACACACCUCCACCCUGCAUCCCAUAAACUCACACCGGCCGCUCCUUCACUCUCUGAUGUACAAACAAAUGUUUGUGUGAGCGUCUCCUCCUCCUCCUCCUCCUCUGACCUUAUGUCACUCAUUUACCCACCAGUGUGUGUCCAUAUGUGGGUCUCGGGCAGACUGUGUGUACGUUGCAUACGAGGAGGCGGCCGUGCUUUCUCACGGCUAAAAGGGAGGAAGUGAGACCACAAACCCACAGGUCUGUCGCUCUCUCUCUGUUUUCACUUCAAACGCUGCAGGCGCCGCCGUUUGCUUUGCCAACAGCGUGGACACAGUCUGUAUCUGGUUUGUGGUUCAAUGAAGGUGACGGCGUCAGCGUAGUGGGGUCAAAGGAGAGGUGGAGCAGCAGGAGUGGACCCUCCACUCAUGUCCUUCUAUCCUACCUCUGUGUUAGGAAGUUGUUGGCAAAAAUACAAUGUGUUGAAUUUGAGGUUGAAGGACUGGAGUGGGAGCAACAUCAGCAGCAACGCAACAACCAGUGCGACCAGUUUCCUGAUUCCUCUGAGGAAUUGUACGACAGCACAAUCAACUGCUAUCACCGUUAUCUGCAGCUCAUUACAGAGAGGAAACGCACAUUGCAUAACUUUAGACUCUACUGUCUCUGAAUGUUUUUUUUUUGUUCUUUUUUUUUCCCACUGAAGUCAUUGAUAAAGCUCUAUUUUUGUUUAUCUGUUAAACUAAUAUUGUUCAAGGCUGCAGGAGCAAAUCUGACCUCGGACCUCGUGACUGGUCUGUUCUUAUCUCACAAGGUCUUUUGCACGCUUUAUUGCACACACACACACAGAAGUCCAGAGUUGGAUCAUCAGCCUUGACCCGUGACGCCUGUGUCGUGUCUUUCGUUUGUUGUCUUUGCAGCAAAUCUGUCAUUUCAUAUUCUUGACUCCGGCUCUGGGGUUGAAGGCUGUGAAGUUGCUGAUUAUGUGAAUGGACUUUGGUAUAAAAAGUGUUUUGUCCCCGUGGAGGGAACAUACAGUCACUCUGAUAACAUACUGUAUGUUAUCACAGCCUCAACAUACUGUACAGCAUGGAGCCAGACGUCUGCUGCGGUCGCACAUCAACCACACCCUGCAUGUCCAGCAUCAGAUACACUGAGAAAGUGUGCGGACAUUUUUACAGCUGGCAGCUUUAAUGCAUUAUUACUGCAGUGUAAUAGUGUUGGAGCUGAUUCAGCGCAGAUGACAGUUUAACAGCAGGACUUGUGUCAGUGAUGCUGCAGAAAUAAGCAGAAGUGACAGCUGACUACGAAGGAGUUGUUGUCAUUUCUUGGUAACUUUAUGCAACCCUUGAGUCUAAGAGUUCAUGUAGUGGAAGUAUUGCAUGGUUUUAACUGUGUCAACUGUAUCACCUAAAAAAAAAAAAA